GAGAAUUAAAAGCUCAGGUUGACCGCCUUUCUGCUAUGGUCGAGACAUUAAUAGCAAACCAAGCAGCCCAAGCUGCUCAACUUCAAACAGCACAAGCUCAGGUUGCCGAAGCACAAGAUGCACAAAUCCAGGUGCAAGCACAGGCAGCAGAGAUGUGCAACCAAAUGUUAACCGCCCGUCUACAAGCAGAGGAAGCCCAGGCUAGGGCUUAAGUUCAUAAUUCAGGACAGACUUCGGCACAGAAUCAACCUCAAAUUCAGAAUCAGAC
rnacentral:lncRNA from 1 species